UCAAAAGCUUACUGAAUGAUCUCGAAUGCCAUUUGAGGGAUGCCACAGCUGCACUGCAAAUGGCAAAUGAACAUUUAUCUCCGCUGUUGGACAUGGAAUCUAGCAUCGGACUACAUCCACGAGAAAGUAGUAGUGGUGAAGAUGAAAUGACUCCAUCUCGACUUCGAGAACCUGAAAUUACAGAUUAUGCCGUCUUGAUGGGAAUCAUUUAUAGUAUGGUGAAGCAGGAUUGUACAAUGCAGGAUAAGAUCGUUAAUUCUCUAAACCUCAACUCAAC